GACGGAGGAUGCAAGCGUUAUCCGGAAUUAUUGGGCGUAAAGCGUCCGCAGGUGGUGUUUCAAGUCUGCCGUUAAAGACCGGGGCUCAACCCCAGAAAGGCGGUGGAAACUGAAAGACUAGAGUGCGGUAGGGGCAGAGGGAAUUCCCAGUGUAGCGGUGAAAUGCGUAGAGAUCGGGAAGAACACCGGUGGCGAAAGCGCUCUGCUGGGCCGCAACUGACACUCAGGGACGAAAGCUAGGGGAGCGAAUGGG
rnacentral:rRNA from 1 species